CACCCGGUGGAAUUUUCCAGGCGCUCUUUCUGCCGGCCCUUCUUUCGGGCCUCUGCGGGGCGUGGUGACCCGAGGUGACCUGUCCUUUUCCUUCUGCCCUGCCAGUCAGUGUGGCCCCCGCCACCCCCCACCCGACCCUCUGGAAGCAGUCAGAUGUGCCCUCCAUCCCGGGACGCCCUGCUGAGUGAGGGGCAAAAAAGGACCACGGAGCAAUCAGAGGGAGGGGCCGUCGACGGAAGCCGUCAACGCCCCUCGUGGGCCCCUUUGGCUAGGUCGGGGAGGAACUUUUUUUUUUGAAGUGCCCGUGGAGGAAUCGUCCCGUUGAGCAAUGCCUGGGUGACGCGACGCAGGGCUAUAAAAGCAAAAGUUGUGUCCCCCCCACCACCAGCAGGAGUUAGUGGCAAGGAGGGCUGCCGUCUGGUCUUAGUGGUGGGGAGGAAGUGGCUAGUUCAGGGCUCAGAGGACAGAGCUGGCAGAGGCAGCCGCUAGCAUGGGGGAGGGAGAAGGGCGGUUAACUAAAAAUGAGGCUAGGUUUGGGGACAGUGGUCGUGUGGACGGCAGCUUCCAAAGCGCCUUCAACAGUCCACCCAGGGGCAGCAGCCUUCAAGGCCAGGCUGGCCCUGCGGUCUGUAGGAGUGGGGGCACUUGACCUCCAGGAGGGCACAGGUCUCACGGGCCCACAUGGGCCCAGUGUUCCAGCUUGAGUGGCAGAGCAGGUGGUGAAUCGGGUAGACCCGGGCCCUUGAGGCCCUGGAUGUCAUGAAGAAGGACAGGCAGUGGGCCCAGGGCUAGGUGGGCAGUGGGGAUCAACUUUGAACUUGACAAUACCAGCAGACCCUUUUUUUCCAGAUAGGGGUUGUGAACCCGCCUGGGGAUGAGGCCUGGUCUUAUGGAAAGGACUAAGUUUCACGGGGCUGACACCUCUGGCCCCGGGUGGUACGUAAUUUGGGCUUGGCCUGAUAGCACCCAGUCUUGGGUGUGAGGGGUGGCCGAGGAGUGGUUGUAGAGGCAAGGAGUUGUCUUCACCUGACAGGUCUGCUUGGCGGGGACCACCGAGAUUGAAGGCGCGCGUCUUGGGGCCACAUUGAUCACAGCUUUAUUUUUCAGUGUUCAUCAUGGCAAGCAGAUGGCACCAGGAGAAAUGGACCCCCUGCCAGUGAGUCCUAACAGUGCAAGAGGGUAGACCCUGGAGGAAACAGCGACCUAAGUUGAUGCCUACACAGUGAAUUCCAGAGGCUUAGAAAGUUCUGCACUGCCAUGUGUCCAGGCCUUACUCGGGAAGCCCUGUGUUCAGAAAGCCAUCGUUUUAAGUGGUCCAGACCAGCUUCUGGGGGUGGGGACGGGCUGACGCUUCCUGCCGGAGUGGCUGUCGGCUGUGAAUGUUCCGGAUGAAUGUCUUGUUCUGGGAGCACCAUUCUCCGGAUGCAUGAAUGCCAGCCAGCAGCCCCCUUCCUGGAGGUAGAGGCAUUCAGCUGCUGCAUCUUCUAAAUCAAGCCUCCAGUCUUUAGGUCUGUGCUGUGAACUUGGCCUCGAGAAGAUUGCUUAAGGUGUAGAACACUCAACACAGCAUGAUGCCUUGUAGAUGGUGUUUGCAGAGGAGCCCAGUGACCUCGACACCUUCCCUGCUUCUGCAGCCUGCCUGCCUCUGCACUGGUCAGAGGCAUUCCUAAGUGUGAUAAAACUUUUGGGUGUUGGGGAACGCUGUUCAAUGUAAAAUGACUGAAGUGGAAGAGUAUUAGUUAGAUGGAGCCAAUCGCUACACGGGUGGGGUGUUGCGUUUUUAAAAGUACGGGAGGGUACAAGCUGGCUGCAAGGUUUUUGGGGAUUUUGUAGAUGGCAUAUCUAAUUUGGGCAUUGGGAUAGCAUCUGGUACCUAGAAGGGAAUGGUGGGCCUGCAGUGGUCCCUGGGAAUCUUGUUCUGUGGCUUUGGUUUUGGUACUGGGUGGUAGGCAGGUGUUACCCCACUGAGGGAUUCCGACUUGGGGCCUGGCUGUGUAUACUAGGCUGGCCUCUGCUCUCAACCCUGCUGGGAUCACAGGUGUCAUCUAAAACUUCACUGUCCAGCUUAACCUGGAGUUUUGCUGGGUCAGGCUUCAGAAUACUUUUGCACCGGAGGUGGGAUUGCCGGAGAGAGCAGGGCUCAGCUUGGCAUUGGUGUCUUGGCCAGAGGUUUGAUGAGGGAUUGGGGGGGGGGGGGGGCAGCAAGGGAUGUGGAUUGAUGGGAAUAACAAUUUGGGAACUAAAUACCUCAUAAAGAAAAUGUCAAAGUUGAUGGUAAAUCCUCAUGUGGGUGAAUGAAUACUUGAGGUGCUGUAACAGUUGCUUGGAACAUACCAAUCCUAAGACAGGGGGAAAAGCAAAAUUGUUUUGCUUUGCUGUUAAAUGAGCAAUACUGAAGUUGUAUCUGAACUGUUUUAGUUGCUUGAAAGAUGAUGUCAAACUCAAAUCAAGAAUGCCCAAGCACAUGCCAGCCUAUGGGGAUGGGGUAGAGAGGAGUGCUGGGGAAGGGCUUGUAAAUGCCUACAUGUGGGCUCUUAGAGCAUUGGCCUCCGCUGUUGAGGUUGACAGACUGCUGGGUUUAUAAUUCAAAUCCUAUCAGAUACUGUGUGGUUGAAAAUUCUAAUGCUGUUAUAUCUAAAGGAAUUGAAUUUGCAAGUCGUGCCUUAUACAACACCUACAGGAAUUUAAUAUGCGAGUCAUGCCUUAUACAACACCUACAGGAAUUUAAUAUGCAAGUCAUGCCUUAUACAACACCUACAGGAAUUUAAUAUGCAAGUCAUGCCUUAUACAACACCUACGGGAAUUUAAUAUGCGAGUCAUGCCUUAUACAACACCUACAGGAAUUUAAUAUGCGAGUCAUGCCUUAUGAAACACAUACUGACUUUCUGGGAUUGACCAGGAGACAACAGGGGUUGCUUACUUGACUAACAGAUGAGUCAUUGUGACAGGGAACAAGGCCUUGCACUUGCUAUGACAUUACUGUAACGUUUGGUAGAAAACCUGAUCCUUGUUUGUACCCUUGCUAAGGCUGCUAUGAAUACAUUGUGUUUUUAGCUUGAAUGGUGCUUUCAAACCAUCCCGGAGCAGAGAGGAAGCUGUAAUUGUCAAAUGAGUUUGGGAAAUAAAGUCAAACGGGGCUGCCGGGGACAUCUUACUAAGAUAAUGCUCUGUAAAAAUUAACUCUGGAAACCCUGGGUGUCUGAGUGCUAAAGUUGCAGUCAAUGGCUUUUCGUGUUGUCUUUCCCUUAAAAUCAGGUCCCCAGUACUGUUACCUCGGGGAUUUUGUCUGUUUUAUGUUGUGUUGAUGUGUGUGGUUUAAAAUGUGCUGUGACCAGGAAUGAUCACUGUCAUUGGAACAGCAGAGUGUUGGUCACGUUGGAAUGGGGAAUUGUGGAGAGAGCUGUAACAGCGGGUCACAGCACCCCCUUGUUGGUACUAAAGUGUUCUGAAGUGUGCACAGCCACUAACCAUUUUCUCCUUUACAGCAAAAUAAAGGUUUGAGAUCGAAACUCC